CUACGUUCUGUUAGCAUCAAAGUUACCUCUAUUUUUUUCUUCUCUCUGGCACCUCUCUACUUGGUGGUGCCUUUUCAAAGUGAACAAGUGUAAGGAACUUGGUCAUUUCUUACCCAACUGGAUAAAGCCCUGGCGUCUGAAUUUGUCACGGUUUCCACCUCGUUGACUGUCAGGCCAGUCGGGCCGCAACCUGACCCAUGAAGUUUCUGAGUCCUCUUUACUGGCCCUGCAGGUGUCCAUCACCAAACUCCUUUUGUAACCUUCUGAAGACCUUUUGAUUGGAUCAUUUAUGUGCAUUAUUGGUGGGGAGAGGAAGGAGAUUUUUUGCAAAAAGAAGAGAUUAACUACGUGCUAGAAAUCCGCGGACUACCUCAAAAAAUCCAAAUGUUCUCAGAAUCAAUGCCUGGACGGAUGUGCCCCAAACUCUGUCACUUUCCAAUAUCAAAAAUUAAGAAGUAUUAAGAGCAUAUAUUAAACAAUAAUACCUUGC
rnacentral:lncRNA from 1 species